rnacentral:hammerhead_ribozyme from 1 species
ACGCAGCUGAAGAGUCUCAAAUAGGACGGAAUGCGUGUCCUAGAU